UGAAGUUUUCAUUUCAUUUAUGAAGAUUAAGCCUAAGCUUAUUACAAUCAAGAUAAGGUCUAAAGGCUUAAGAAAAACCGGUUUACAGCUACUAAGGCCCACAGGAUAGAACCCAUGAUACAACAAAGCCUAGCAUCUAGAAACCCUCGACCACUUGCCUCGCUUCGACCUGAUUAGAAGAAGAGCUAAGCCGCUCUCAUCGCUGGAUUCAUCGUUUGCUGCUGUUAGUGAAAUCAAUUGGCAAAGAAGUCUCUAUCUACAAACCAACAGGCCAUAAAAGCAAACUGAAGAAACAGAGGAGACAAACGCAAACUAGCAUCUGACACCCCUGAUAGAAGAGAGAUGAAACCUGAAAACUUAGAAAACACCGAUGCAAUCUUGAAUCAGAGCGAACAUAGCAAGAGGUGGGUAUCCGAGAGAGGAAUACACCUUAGUCACACCACCUCACUUCUAUGUGAGUGAAGGAAGAAAAAUCCAGAAAAACAAAAGCAAGGGUGGUGGCUCAAACAAACAAACAUCACAAUCUCUAGCUUUUAGAUAGUAAGCUAUCGUUCUCUCCUAUGCGUGCAAAACUCAGAAUCCAGAAAAGGGUUUAUCUUUUAUAGGAACAAGCAAAAACAACGGCAACAUAUAAAAAAAGGGUUUUUGCCAAUGUAGGAAUGAGAGAUUAUUGGUUUUUGCCAAUUUAGGAGUCGAAAAUUUUUAAUUUGUGAA
rnacentral:lncRNA from 1 species